rnacentral:tmRNA from 1 species
GGGGAUGACAGGUUUCGACGGGGAGGGAUGUCCUGAGGUCGCAUGCGGAGACGCCUGACACUCCUAAAACGGGCACCUAAAUAUAACUGGCGAGCCACAACUCGCUAUGGCCGCCUAAGGGCGGUCACAUCCAGAUGAGUCCUACGCUGGCGGACGCAUCUCGGGUGACACUUUAGCCGGCGUGCGGCCCAUCUGACGCCGCUGGGGUGGGCCUAAGAUCGAGCGGAUAGCGGGCCGGUUGAGUUGCCUGGUCGGGCGACUGGACCGCGAAACUCAACCCAACCAGGCUAAGCGUGUAGACGCCUCACGAUUAACUCUUCGGACGCGGGUUCGAGUCCCGCCAUCUCCACUU